rnacentral:tRNA from 1 species
GACCAUUUAGUUUAUAUAAAAUAAGUAUUUUGAAAGUAUUAGAAAAGAAAAAAAUUUCUUAAUGGUCG